rnacentral:rRNA from 1 species
UACGUAGGGUCCGAGCGUUGUCCGGAGUUACUGGGCGUAAAGCGCGCGCAGGCGGCUUGAUAAGUCUGGCGUGAAAGCCCCCGGCUCAACCGGGGAGGGUCGUCGGAGACUGUUGAGCUCGAGGACGGUAGAGGGGGGUAGAAUUGCUGGUGUAGCGGUGAAAUGCGUAGAGAUCAGCAGGAAUACCCGUGGCGAAGGCGGCCCCCUGGGCCGAACCUGACGCUGAGGCGCGAAGGCUAGGGGAGCGAACGGG